UCCUCGAUAGUAUAGUGGUGAGUAUCCCCGCCUGUCACGCGGGAGACCGGAGUUCGAUUCCCCGUCGGGGAG
rnacentral:tRNA from 1 species